UACGUAGGUGGCAAGCGUUGUCCGGAUUUACUGGGCGUAAAGGAUGCGUAGGUGGAUAUUUAAGUGGGAUGUGAAAUACCCGGGCUCAACUUGGGUGCUGCAUUCCAAACUGGAUAUCUAGAGUGCAGGAGAGGUAAGUGGAAUUCCUAGUGUAGCGGUGAAAUGCGUAGAGAUUAGGAAGAACACCAGUGGCGAAGGCGACUUACUGGACUGUAACUGACACUGAGGCAUGAAAGCGUGGGGAGCAAACAGGAUUAGAUACCCUGGUAGUCCACGCCGUAAACGAUGGGUACUAGGUGUAGGAGGGUCCAACCUUCUGUGCCGCCGUUAACACAAUAAGUACCCCGCCUGGGGAGUACGGUCGCAAGAUUAAA
rnacentral:rRNA from 1 species